UACGUAGGGGGCAAGCGUUGUCCGGAAUCAUUGGGCGUAAAGAGCGUGUAGGUGGCCCGUUAAGUGGCUGGUGAAAUCCCGGGGCUCAACUCCGGGGCUGCCGGUCAGACUGGCGAGCUAGAGCACGGUAGGGGCAGAUGGAAUUCCCGGUGUAGCGGUGGAAUGCGUAGAGAUCGGGAAGAAUACCAGUGGCGAAGGCGUUCUGCUGGGCCGUUGCUGACACUGAGGCGCGACAGCGUGGGGAGCAAACAGG
rnacentral:rRNA from 1 species